AAAGAAAUAGUAAAAGGUUUUGGAAUACAGAACUAGCAAACUAAUAUUAAAGGAAAAAAAAAAAGGGGAAAUAAUAAUAACAAUAAUAAAGAGGUUUGGAAAAAUAGAGCAGGGAAACUAAAACAAAUUAAAACAAGGAGAAGUAAUAAAAAAAGAAUACAUAAUUGUCACAUUACACAAUCCUAAACAAAAGCCAGAAAAAGUAAAUACAAAAUACACACACAUACAAACACACACACACACCAAUGGCCUAUUAAUACCCAAAGUAAUAAUAGCAACCCUAAUACAACAUAAGUAAUAGCAGGUUCCAUUAAAAUAUUAUACUGAGGAAUAAGCAUGCGGGAGAGGAAUUAUUUGUACUCAAUGUUUGUUCUUCACUUACACGCUAAACACACUUGGAAGGGACGAGCGAGGAGCGGAAUGAAUUGACACACACACACACACACACACGCACACAAGGAGAGGGGAAGAUGUAUGAAAGAGGAGGAGAAAAUGAGAGCAAAACCAGCAUACAGAAGGGAAGAAAUACACACACACACAAGGAGAGAGGUGAAGAUGCAUAAGGAAGGAGAAAAUGAGAGGAAAAACAGUAUACAGAAGGGAAAAAAUACACACAGACACACAAGGAGAGAGGUGAAGAUGUGAGGGAGGAGAGAAAAUGAGAGCAAAAAUAGCAAAAAAAGGGAAAAUGAUAGUAAUGAUAAUAGUAAUAAUAAAACACUGAAAUGAUAUAUAUAUAUACACACACACACACACACACACACACAGUUACUCACCACACAAGUUAAAGUGGUACACACACACACACACACACACACACCAAUUAACCACCACACCCCAAACAGUCAUGAUGGUAGUGGUAGUACAUACAUACACACACAUAAACAAACAAACACACACACACCCACACCAGUCACCCACCACACCAAAUAUUCAGGAUGGUGGUGGUUGUGGUGUGAGCUGUCGGCACAAACUGUCUUUUUGUAUUUGCUGUGGCUGAACCAAAGUGUCCGGACCGCACGUGGCAACCAGGGACGUUAUUUUGCAGUGUUAGUGUGUGUGCAAAGGUUUCCCAAUGACUUAUAACUAGACCAUUUUUUUGUUCGGUCGAGUUUCUGGCUUUUGUACAUAAGCUAACACGGUGGAAAGAUAAAUGAUGAGGAAAAGGAAAUAUUAGAGUAUCGAAAAUCUUAGGUGUUAAUGUUUUUAUAAUGAGUUAGAAGUAAAUGAAGACAAAGUGAAUAUUAGAGUAUUGAUAAUCUUAGGUGUUAAUGUUUUUAUAAUGAGUUAGAAGUAAAUGAAGACAAAGUGAAUAUUACAGUAUUGAUAAUCUUAGGUGUUAAUGUUUUUAUAAUGAGUUAGAAGUAAAUGAAGACAAAGCGAAUAUUAGAGUAUUGAUAAUCUUAGGUGUUAAUGUUUUUACAAUGAGUUAGAAGUAAAUGAAGACAAAGCGAAUUUUAGAGUAUUGAUAAUCUUAGGUGUUAAUGUUUUUAUAAUGAGUUAGAAGUUAAGGAAGACAAAGUGAAUAUUAGAGUAUUGAUAAUCUUAGGUGUUAAUGUUUUUACAAUGAGUUAGAAGUAAAUGAAGACAAAGCGAAUUUUAGAGUAUCGAUAAUCUUAGGUGUUAAUGUUUUUACAAUGAGUUAGAAGUAAAUGAAGACAAGGAACAUACUUUUCAGCUUACCUAUGGCACAGAAUAUUAAAAAAACAAUGAUAAGAAGGCAAUGCAAGCUAUACACUAAAUAACUACACAAAACCAAUGAAACUAGUGACAGGAUAAGAUAUUAGAGUAUCGAUAAUCUUAGGUGUUAAUGUUUUUACAAUGAGUUAGAAGUAAAUGAAGACAAGGAGCAUACUCAUCCACCUUACCUAUGGCACAGAAUAUUAAAAAAAAAAACAAUGAUAAGAAGGCAAUGCAAGCUAUACACUAAAUAACUACACAAAACCAAUGAAACUUGUGACAGGAUAUGAUGAAGUGAUGAGCCUUGCAACAUAGUACAGUACAUCUUGGUUUUCCUGUAUAAUUUUAUGACAAUACUGGUGGAGGGAAGAAGAAAGAAGGCAACACAAGCAUUUGGUACACUAUAUAACUGCAUGCAAACAAUGAAAAAAAGGAAGAGGAAGAAAUGAGCCUUGCAAUACACAAUACAUCUUGGUUUUCAUGUAUAAUUUUAUGACAACAGUAGAAGAGAAAAGAAGGAGGAAGAUGAUACAACCAUUUGAUACACUACAUGGAUAUAUACAAGUGAAAAGUGACAGAAUAUGACAAAGUGACAAUAUGAUAAAGUGACAAUAUGAUAAAGUGACAAUAUGAUAAAGUGACAGAAUAUGA